GAGAGUUAAACAGUACGUGAAAUUGUUGAAAGGGAAACGAUUGAAGUCAGUCAUACUAACGGGAAAUCAACCUCUUGAGUUUGGUCUCGUAUCGAAGUGUUAUAGACUCUGGUAGAUGUGACGAUUGGGAUUGAGGAUUGCAACGGAUACCCUUCGGGGCUACUCGUCUGAUCUCUGAAGGUUGCUCCGGUACCGAAAGCGUGCUUACGGUCAUCGAAAGUGAUUUUCAAAAGGUUAGAACGGGUUAAAUUCGUUAAGGAUGUUGACGUAAUGGCUUUAAACGA
rnacentral:rRNA from 1 species